UACGAAGGGGGCUAGCGUUGCUCGGAAUCACUGGGCGUAAAGCGCACGUAGGCGGAUUGUUAAGUCAGGGGUGAAAUCCUGGAGCUCAACUCCAGAACUGCCUUUGAUACUGGCGAUCUCGAGUCCGGGAGAGGUGAGUGGAACUGCGAGUGUAGAGGUGAAAUUCGUAGAUAUUCGCAAGAACACCAGUGGCGAAGGCGGCUCACUGGCCCGGUACUGACGCUGAGGUGCGAAAAGCUAGGGGAGCAAACGGG
rnacentral:rRNA from 1 species